UGCAUGAGUUCAUCUUGGUCUAGGAUUGUUGGAGGAGUCAGAAAAAUUACCCCAGGGAUCCUGAAGUCAUUGGGGUGGA
ensembl:miRNA